rnacentral:rRNA from 1 species
AUACGGAGGGUGCAAGCGUUGUUCGGAAUUAUUGGGCGUAAAGAGCAUGUAGGCGGACUGUUAAGUCUGGUGUGAAAGCCCGGGGCUCAACCCCGGAAGUGCAUUGGAUACUGGCAGUCUUGAGUAUGGGAGAGGAAAGUGGAAUUCCGAGUGUAGGAGUGAAAUCCGUAGAUAUUCGGAGGAACACCAGUGGCGAAGGCGGCUUUCUGGACCAAUACUGACGCUGAGAUGCGAAAGCGUGGGGAGCGAACAGGAUUAGAUACCCGUGUAGUCC